rnacentral:rRNA from 1 species
CCUACGGGAGGCUGCAGUGGGGAAUAUUGCACAAUGGCGGGAACUCUGAUGCAGCGACGCCGCGUGAGUGAAGAAGUAAUUCGUUAUGUAAAGCUCUAUCAGCAGGGAAGAAAGUGACGGUACCUGAAAAAGAAGCUCCGGCUAAAUACGUGCCCGACGCCGCGGUAAUACGUAUGGAGCAAGCCUUAUCCGGAUGUACGGGGUGUAAAGGGAGAGUAGGUGGCAGAGAAAGUCCGAAGUGAAAACCCAAAGCUCAAAGAUGGGAAUGCUUUAGAAACUGCUCAGCUAGAGUGCAGGAGAGGCAAGUGGAAUGCGUAGUGUAGCGGUGAAAGGCGUAGAUAUUAGGAGGAACACCAGUGGCGAAGGCGGCUUGCUGGACUGUAACUGACGCUGAGGCACGAAAGCGUGGGUAGCAAACAGGAUUAGAUACCCUUGUAGUC